CCUCGGGUGGUAGCAGUAGGGAAGCGUACACAAGGGACGAAAGUCGGAGGGAGUAACGGCGAGUGAGUGAAGAAGGGUUUCGGCUCGUAAAGCUCUGUUGGUAGUGAAGAAAGAUAGAGGUAGUAACUGGCCUUUAUUUGACGGUAAUUACUUAGAAAGUCACGGCUAACUACGUGCCAGCAGCCGCGGUAAUACGUAGGUGGCAAGCGUUGUCCGGAUUUAUUGGGCGUAAAGCGAGUGCAGGCGGUUCAAUAAGUCUGAUGUGAAAGCCUUCGGCUCAACCGGAGAAUUGCAUCAGAAACUGUUGAACUUGAGUGCAGAAGAGGAGAGUGGAACUCCAUGUGUAGCGGUGGAAUGCGUAGAUAUAUGGAAGAACACCAGUGGCGAAGGCGGCUCUCUGGUCUGCAACUGACGCUGAGGCUCGAAAGCAUGGGUAGCGAACAGGAUUAGAUACCCCUGUAGUC
rnacentral:rRNA from 1 species